rnacentral:ncRNA from 1 species
GUUCGGUUGGGGUAAACUUUGCGAAAGCGAAGGACGCUAAAGUCAUGGGUCUAAGGCUUAAGAAAACCAAAGUACUUUUUCAAGUAACUUGGAACUUAAGCUAAGAUCGCCAGAUUACAAGA